GACGAACGCGGCGGCGUGCCUAAUUCAUGCAAGUCGAGCGGAGUUUUUAAAAGCUUGCUUUUAAAAACUCAGCGGCGGACGGGUGAGUAACACGUGGGCAACCUGCCCUGUAGACUGGGAUAACUUCGGGAAACCGAAGCUAAUACCGGAUAAUCAUAGAAGUUGCAUAGCUUCUAUGUAAAAGUUGGGUUUACCUAACACUACAGGAUGGGCCCGCGUCGCAUUAGCUAGUUGGUAAGGUAACGGCUUACCAAGGCGACGAUGCGUAGCCGACCUGAGAGGGUGAUCGGCCACACUGGGACUGAGACACGGCCCAGACUCCUACGGGAGGCAGCAGUAGGGAAUCUUCCGCAAUGGACGAAAGUCUGACGGAGCAACGCCGCGUGAGCGAUGAAGGCCUUCGGGUCGUAAAGCUCUGUU
rnacentral:rRNA from 1 species